rnacentral:rRNA from 1 species
AUUGAACGCUGGCGGCAUGCCUUACACAUGCAAGUCGAACGGCAGCGGGGGAGAAGCUUUCUUUUCCUGCCGGCGAGUGUCGAACGGGUGAGUAAUACAUCGGAACGUGCCCUGUAGUGGGGGAUAACUAGUCGAAAGAUUAGCUAGUACUGCAUACGACUUGAGGGUGAAAGUGUGGGACCGCAAGGCCUCAUGCUAUAGGCACGGCCGAUGUCUGAUUAGCUGGUUGGUGGGGUAAAGGCCUACCAAGGCGACGAUCAGUAGCUGGUCUGAGAGGACGAUCAGCCACACUGGGACUGAGACACGGCCCAGACUCCUACGGGAGGCAGCAGUGGGGAAUUUUGGACAAUGGGCGAAAGCCUGAUCCAGCAAUGCCGCGUGUGUGAAGAAGGCCUUCGGGUUGUAAAGCACUUUUGUCCGGAAAGAAAUGGCUCUGGUUAAUACCUGGGGUCGAUGACGGUACCGGAAGAAUAAGGACCGGCUAACUACGUGCCAGCCGCCGCGGUAA